rnacentral:rRNA from 1 species
CCCGCAGCACAAGUGGUGGUCAUUAUUAUUGGGCCUAAAGCGUCCGUAGCUGGCUUGUUAGAUGCCUGGGUAAAUCGAUGCGCUCAACGCAUCGAAUUCCGGGUAGACCGGCAAGCUCGAGACCGGGAGAGGUGUAGGCUACUCGGGGGGUAGGGGUAAAAUCCUGUAAUCCUCCGGGGAGGACCAGUGGCGAAGGCGCUACACUAGAACGGCUCUGACAGUGAGGGACGAAGCCCUGGGGCGCAAACCGGAUUAGAUACCCGGGUAGUCCAGGGUGUAAACGCUGCAGACUUGGUGUCGCUGAUCCUACGAGGGUUGGCGGUGCCGGAGAGAAGUUGUUGAGUCUGCCGCCUGGGGAGUACGGUCGCAAGACUG